UCGUGAGAUGUUCGGUUAAGUCCGGCAACGAGCGCAACCCUCGUCUUAUGUUGCCAGCACGUUUAUGGGUGGGAACUCAUGGGAUACUGCCGUGGUCAACACGGAGGAAGGUGGGGAUGACGUCAAAUCAUCAUGCCCCUUAUGUCUUGGGCUUCACGCAUGCUACAAUGGCCGAUACAAAGGGCUGCGAUACCGCGAGGUGGAGCGAAUCCCAAAAAGUCGGUCUCAGUUCGGAUUGGGGUCUGCAACUCGACCCCAUGAAGUCGGAGUCGCUAGUAAUCGCAGAUCAGCAACGCUGCGGUGAAUACGUUCCCGGGCCUUGUACACACCGCCCGUCAAGUCAUGAAAGUCGGUAACACCUGAAGCCGGUNNCCGAACCCCUANAGGGUGAUCCUGGAGGGUCCUUCACUUAGCAAAUGG
rnacentral:rRNA from 1 species